GUGUAUGUAAUUUAAAAAAAAUAUCAAGCUGUGACCCUGACAUUAGGUUAACCCUCAUACACC
rnacentral:tRNA from 1 species